GAUGAACGCUGGCGGCGUGCUUAACACAUGCAAGUCGAACGGAAAGGCCCAAGCUUGCUUGGGUACUCGAGUGGCGAACGGGUGAGUAACACGUGGGUGAUCUGCCCUGCACUUCGGGAUAAGCCUGGGAAACUGGGUCUAAUACCGGAUAGGACCACUUCUUGGAUGUUGUGGUGGAAAGUUUUUUCGGUGUGGGAUGAGCUCGCGGCCUAUCAGCUUGUUGGUGGGGUAAUGGCCUACCAAGGCGUCGACGGGUAGCCGGCCUGAGAGGGUGUACGGCCACAUUGGGGCUGAGAUACGGCCCAGACUCCUACGGGAGGCAGCAGUGGGGAAUAUUGCACAAUGGGCGCAAGCCUGAUGCAGCGACGCCGCGGGGGGGAUGACGGCCUUCGGGUUGUAAACUCCUUUCGCUAGGGACGAAGCGUUUUGUGACGGUACCUGGAGAAGAAGCACCGGCUAACUACGUG
rnacentral:rRNA from 1 species